UUGACGUGAAAAUGAGAAUUGUUAUUAUUACCUCACCUGGCCGCGAGGCCAGCCGAUAAGCUGAGAGAUUCAAACGCAGUCGGAUUUCUUCAGAUUAUCUCCUCAUCAGGCUAAUCACGGUUUUCGACCCGGCUCUUGCCGGGUCUUUUUUUG
rnacentral:sRNA from 1 species